rnacentral:misc_RNA from 1 species
UCGUAACAAGGUCUCCGUAGGUGAACCUGCGGAGGGAUCAUUACACAAUAUGAAAGCGGGUUGGGACCUCACCUCGGUGAGGGCUCCAGCUUGUCUGAAUUAUUCACCCAUGUCUUUUGCGCACUUCUUGUUUCCUGGGCGGGUUCGCCCGCCACCAGGACCAAACCAUAAACCUUUUUGUAAUUGCAAUCAGCGUCAGUAAACAAUGUAAUUAUUACAACUUUCAACAACGGAUCUCUUGGUUCUGGCAUCGAUGAAGAACGCAGCGAAAUGCGAUACGUAGUGUGAAUUGCAGAAUUCAGUGAAUCAUCGAAUCUUUGAACGCACAUUGCGCCCUUUGGUAUUCCAAAGGGCAUGCCUGUUCGAGCGUCAUUUGUACCCUCAAGCUUUGCUUGGUGUUGGGCGUCUUUGUCUCUCACGAGACUCGCCUUAAAAUGAUUGGCAGCCGACCUACUGGUUUCGGAGCGCAGCACAAUUCUUGCACUUUGAAUCAGCCUUGGUUGAGCAUCCAUCAAGACCACAUUUUUUUCAACUUUUGACCUCGGAUCAGGUAGGGAUACCCGCUGAACUUAAGCAUAUCAAUAAGCGGAGGA